UUCAAAUUCAUUUUAAUUCUCUUCAAUAAACCUGUGUGAAAAUAAUAAUUAAAUUUUGUCAUUUUGAACAUAACCAUUAAAAAUAUUCAUAUCACAAAUCAAGGUAUUCUACGUAAUCGCAUUAAUUAUAGAGCAUAAUUUGAAUAAAUUUAUAAUAAUAGAAGAAACUUUAUCCAUUGUAUCAAAAUAGAAAAUUGCUCUGACAUGUGACUAAUCGACUAACUUUUUCCAUGCUAUAAAAAAGGAUUCCCUAGUUAAAAGGAAGCACAGUUGUUGAGUGGCAAUUAACGUUUCGUACGUAGCAUGUAUAUAGUGAGUUCCGAGUUUUAAGCAAACCGAGAAAAUUAAAUAGUACUUGAAAAAGCAUUACUUUUACUUUGUUUUUGAAUCACCAUUUCAAUUUUUUUUCCGUUCUCUAUAUACGUUACCGAUUCUGUUAAUUCGAUGGCAUUCGCGCCCUCACUCGUUAAAUAAGAUCAUAUUAAUUUUCCUACCAAAGAGGUUAUGUCUCGGAAUAAAAAUUUCUAAAAAAGUAUACUUUGAACAGAUCUAUAUAUAUCAAUAAAUAAAAUAUAUUAAUUCUAGAAGAGAUGAACUAUUUUUAAAUAAUAUUGAAUAAACUUAACACUAAUAAUAUAAUAAAAAUUACAUUUUCUUUACUUGAUUCAAUUAAUUCAUAGUAACAUCAGGUGAAGUUAUUCUAUCAAAUGUAUAUAUAUAUGAAUGUAUAUCAAAUAGAGCAUUUAUAUGAUCCAUCGACGGUGUACGGUCCUGAAUAUAUGUAAAGGUCCCCCUCAGACCAGAGUUAAUGGAAUGCAGGUGAGCAGGCAAACUUCGAUGCGUGGAGACAGGUACAGCCAAUGUCCGCCGCGUUGUUCGGACCUAUGUCCCAUUCCAAAGAUAUCGGAUAUAUUCUCUCGAAGCAGCGACGUUCGAUUCACCGCGAGAAUCGACCGCCUAUUCGAGAAACAUAAAGGACGAGCUCGAGUUCCUUUUCGUGUAGAAGGUUCCCUUUGGAUGACAAAUUCAUUCGACCAUUGGCCGCGUAACGGUCAACGUAAGUUCACACGAGACAUGAAUACAUAUCUUCAAUUUAUAUCAACGAGAUGAUGUAAAUUUUCAUCUGAAGAUAGAUCGAUUGCGUAAUAUACAAAAUGAAUAAAAACGAAUGGUGAUAAUGAAAGAUUAACAGACUACGAUGCUUAAAUUGGAUAUCUAUGGUUAAAAAGCACAAUAUUCUAUCAAACACAAUCCAUUAUGAGGAACUUUUCAUUAGUCUUCGAACUUUUUUAAAAAUGAAGAAAUGAUGAAACAAAGCCCAAAAGUUUCAAGGAUAUUUCAGACAACGUUUAGGUUAGGUAAGACCUACUCUCCUCUUGGAUUAAUUUGAAAAAUUGAUUAGUUAGAAAAAGAAAGAAUUUUGUAUCGACAAUAACAGAAAGAAAUUUUCCCGAUGUGAACUUUUCAAUUACGAAGUAUAUUUCACAAAGUUCAGUAACCAUUCGGUAGCUUUAAACGCUAUAUAAUUACGUCGAUAUUGCUGCGAGUUGGUGGACUCCUGUUUCUACUUUAAACUGACAAUCAAUUAUUAUCCUUCCUAUUUCACUUUGCACUAUUCAUUGUUUUAUUUUUCACAUUUCAUCUCAUUUAAAGUAAAAUUCAUGUAAUAAAUCUUAAUAAAGUUCAUUAAUUAAAAAAUUUUUGAUUAUUUACUU